CAGUCGCCGCGGUAAUACGUAGGGUGCAAGCGUUAAUCGGAAUUACUGGGCGUAAAGCGCACGCAGGCGGUUUGUUAAGUCAGAUGUGAAAUCCCCGAGCUUAACUUGGGAACAGCAUUUGAAACUGGCAAGCUAGAGUCUUGUAGAGGGGGGUAGAAUUCCAGGUGUAGCGGUGAAAUGUGUAGAGAUCUGGAGGAAUACCGGUGGCGAAGGCGGCCCCCUGGACAAAGACUGACGCUCAGGUGCGAAAGCGUGGGGAGCAAACAGGAUUAGAUACCCCGGUAGUCCCUGUCUCUUAUAA
rnacentral:rRNA from 1 species